GCAGUGGGAGCACGCUUAGGCGUGUGACUGCGUACCUUUUGUAUAAUGGGUCAGCGACUUAUAUUCUGUAGCAAGGUUAACCGAAUAGGGGAGCCGAAGGGAAACCGAGUCUUAACUGGGCGUUAAGUUGCAGGGUAUAGACCCGAAACCCGGUGAUCUAGCCAUGGGCAGGUUGAAGGUUGGGUAACACUAACUGGAGGACCGAACCGACUAAUGUUGAAAAAUUAGCGGAUGACUUGUGGCUGGGGGUGAAAGGCCAAUCAAACCGGGAGAUAGCUGGUUCUCCCCGAAAGCUAUUUAGGUAGCGCCUCGUGAAUUCAUCUCCGGGGGUAGAGCACUGUUUCGGCAAGGGGGUCAUCCCGACUUACCAACCCGAUGCAAACUGCGAAUACCGGAGAAUGUUAUCACGGGAGACACACGGCGGGUGCUAACGUCCGUCGUGAAGAGGGAAACAACCCAGACCGCCAGCUAAGGUCCCAAAGUCAUGGUUAAGUGGGAAACGAUGUGGGAAGGCCCAGACAGCCAGGAUGUUGGCUUAGAAGCAGCCAUCAUUUAAAGAAAGCGUAAUAGCUCACUGGUCGAGUCGGCCUGCGCGGAAGAUGUAACGGGGCUAAACCAUGCACCGAAGCUGCGGCAGCGACGCUGAUGCGUUGUUGGGUAGGGGAGCGUUCUGUAAGCCUGUGAAGGUGUGCUGUGAGGCAUGCUGGAGGUAUCAGAAGUGCGAAUGCUGACAUAAGUAACGAUAAAGCGGGUGAAAAGCCCGCUCGCCGGAAGACCAAGGGUUCCUGUCCAACGUUAAUCGGGGCAGGGUGAGUCGACCCCUAAGGCGAGGCCGAAAGGCGUAGUCGAUGGGAAACAGGUUAAUAUUCCUGUACUUGGUGUUACUGCGAAGGGGGGACGGAGAAGGCUAUGUUGGCCGGGCGACGGUUGUCCCGGUUUAAGCGUGUAGGCUGGUUUUCCAGGCAAAUCCGGAAAACUAAGGCUGAGGCGUGAUGACGAGGCACUACGGUGCUGAAGCAACAAAUGCCCUGCUUCCAGGAAAAGCCUCUAAGCAUCAGGUAACAUCAAAUCGUACCCCAAACCGACACAGGUGGUCAGGUAGAGAAUACCAAGGCGCUUGAGAGAACUCGGGUGAAGGAACUAGGCAAAAUGGUGCCGUAACUUCGGGAGAAGGCACGCUGAUAUGUAGGUGAAGUCCCUCGCGGAUGGAGCUGAAAUCAGUCGAAGAUACCAGCUGGCUGCAACUGUUUAUUAAAAACACAGCACUGUGCAAACACGAAAGUGGACGUAUACGGUGUGACGCCUGCCCGGUGCCGGAAGGUUAAUUGAUGGGGUCAGCGCAAGCGAAGCUCUUGAUCGAAGCCCCGGUAAACGGCGGCCGUAACUAUAACGGUCCUAAGGUAGCGAAAUUCCUUGUCGGGUAAGUUCCGACCUGCACGAAUGGCGUAAUGAUGGCCAGGCUGUCUCCACCCGAGACUCAGUGAAAUUGAACUCGCUGUGAAGAUGCAGUGUACCCGCGGCAAGACGGAAAGACCCCGUGAACCUUUACUAUAGCUUGACACUGAACAUUGAGCCUUGAUGUGUAGGAUAGGUGGGAGGCUUUGAAGUGUGGACGCCAGUCUGCAUGGAGCCGACCUUGAAAUACCACCCUUUAAUGUUUGAUGUUCUAACGUUGACCCGUAAUCCGGGUUGCGGACAGUGUCUGGUGGGUAGUUUGACUGGGGCGGUCUCCUCCUAAAGAGUAACGGAGGAGCACGAAGGUUGGCUAAUCCUGGUCGGACAUCAGGAGGUUAGUGCAAUGGCAUAAGCCAGCUUGACUGCGAGCGUGACGGCGCGAGCAGGUGCGAAAGCAGGUCAUAGUGAUCCGGUGGUUCUGAAUGGAAGGGCCAUCGCUCAACGGAUAAAAGGUACUCCGGGGAUAACAGGCUGAUACCGCCCAAGAGUUCAUAUCGACGGCGGUGUUUGGCACCUCGAUGUCGGCUCAUCACAUCCUGGGGCUGAAGUAGGUCCCAAGGGUAUGGCUGUUCGCCAUUUAAAGUGGUACGCGAGCUGGGUUUAGAACGUCGUGAGACAGUUCGGUCCCUAUCUGCCGUGGGCGCUGGAGAACUGAGGGGGGCUGCUCCUAGUACGAGAGGACCGGAGUGGACGCAUCACUGGUGUUCGGGUUGUCAUGCCAAUGGCACUGCCCGGUAGCUAAAUGCGGAAGAGAUAAGUGCUGAAAGCAUCUAAGCACGAAACUUGCCCCGAGAUGAGUUCUCCCUGACUCCUUGAGAGUCCUGAAGGAACGUUGAAG
rnacentral:rRNA from 1 species